rnacentral:rRNA from 1 species
UACAGAGGGUGCAAGCGUUAAUCGGAAUUACUGGGCGUAAAGGGCGCGUAGGCGGCCUUCUAAGUCAGACGUGAAAUCCCCCGGCUUAACCUGGGAACUGCGUCUGAUACUGGGAGGCUAGAGUGCGGGAGAGGGAUGCGGAAUUCCAGGUGUAGCGGUGAAAUGCGUAGAUAUCUGGAGGAACACCGGUGGCGAAGGCGGCAUCCUGGACCGGCACUGACGCUGAGGCGCGAAAGCUAGGGUAGCAAACGGG